UUUAUAAAUGAUGACUUUUACCGCCCCAGUCUGAUGUACUGAUGACUGGUAAACUUACUGAAAUAAA
ensembl:snoRNA SNORD31 Small nucleolar RNA SNORD31